CUUGCUUUUUUGAGACCGGCGCACGGGUGAGUAACGCGUAUGCAACCUACCUUAUACAGGGGAAUAGCCCGAAGAAAUUCGGAUUAAUGCUCCAUGGUUUAUCGAUAUGGCAUCGUAUUGAUAAUAAAGAUUUAUCGGUAUAAGAUGGGCAUGCGUAUCAUUAGCUAGUUGGUGUGGUAACGGCAUACCAAGGCAACGAUGAUUAGGGGUCCUGAGAGGGAGAUCCCCCACACUGGUACUGAGACACGGACCAGACUCCUACGGGAGGCAGCAGUGAGGAAUAUUGGUCAAUGGAGGCAACUCUGAACCAGCCAUGCCGCGUGCAGGAUGACGGUCCUAUGGAUUGUAAACUGCUUUUGUACAGGAAGAAACCUCCCUACGAGUAGGGACUUGACGGUACUGUAAGAAUAAGGAUCGGCUAACUCCGUGCCAGCAGCCGCGGUAAUACGGAGGAUCCGAGCGUUAUCCGGAAUUAUUGGGUUUAAAGGGUUCGUAGGCGGCUUUGUAAGUCAGUGGUGAAAUUUCCUAGCUUAACUAGGACACUGCCAUUGAUACUGCAGAGCUUGAAUAGUAUGGAAGUAACUAGAAUAUGUAGUGUAGCGGUGAAAUGCUUAGAUAUUACAUGGAAUACCAAUUGCGAAGGCAGGUUACUACGUAUUUAUUGACGCUGAUGAACGAAAGCGUGGGGAGCGAACAGGAUUAGAUACCCUGGUAGUCCACGCCGUAAACGAUGGAUACUAGCUGUUCGGUUUUCGGACUGAGUGGCUAAGCGAAAGUGAUAAGUAUCCCACCUGGGGAGUACGUUCGCAAGAAUGAAACUCAAAGGAAUUGACGGGGGCCCGCACAAGCGGUGGAGCAUGUGGUUUAAUUCGAUGAUACGCGAGGAACCUUACCAGGGCUUAAAUGUAGAUUGACAGAUUUGGAAACAGAUUUUUCUUCGGACAAUUUACAAGGUGCUGCAUGGUUGUCGUCAGCUCGUGCCGUGAGGUGUCAGGUUAAGUCCUAUAACGAGCGCAACCCCUAUUGUUAGUUACCAGCGCGUAGUGGCGGGGACUCUAGCAAGACUGCCGGUGCAAACCGUGAGGAAGGUGGGGAUGACGUCAAAUCAUCACGGCCCUUACGUCCUGGGCUACACACGUGCUACAAUGGCAAGUACAGAAAGCAGCUACCUGGCAACAGGAUGCGAAUCUCCAAAGCUUGUCUCAGUUCGGAUUGGAGUCUGCAACUCGACUCUAUGAAGCUGGAAUCGCUAGUAAUCGGAUAUCAGCCAUGAUCCGGUGAAUACGUUCCCGGGCCUUGUACACACCGCCCGUCAAGCCAUGGAAGCUGGGGGUA
rnacentral:rRNA from 1 species